rnacentral:piRNA from 1 species
UUGGUGGGGUCCAUCAGUUGGGACCUAGUC